UACGUAGGUGGCGAGCGUGUCCGGAAUUACUGGGUGUAAAGCGCGUGUAGGCGGCAGGCCAAGUCGGUGGUGAAAGCGCCCGGCUCAACUGGGCGAGGUCCAUGGAAACUGGUCAGCUGGAGGACGGUAGAGGCGAGUGGAAUUCCCGGUGUAGUGGUGAAAUGCGUAGAGAUCGGGAGGAACACCUGUGGCGAAGGCGGGUCUCUGGGCUGUAACUGACGCUGAGGAGCGAAAGCAUGGGGAGCGAACAGG
rnacentral:rRNA from 1 species